AGAACCUUGAAACAUAACACCGCACACCGUAUAGCCAUUACGGCCACAGUUUUAAUUGAUUUAAAAAAAAUUCUUUAAAAAAAACAAAACACUACACUAGAAUGUAUUCAGAAAAAGAAAAAAAAAGGAUAUACCUUCAAAAUCUAGGGAGCCGAGACUGAUGUUAUAUGCAAGUCAUGUACUACAGCUACAUUAUGUUCUUUAUGUAUGCACAUGGGUUUUGUUUUGACUGUUUUGUACCCAGCAUGGUGUAUACUGAAUAUUCACACAGCCCACGACAACAUUAAAGCUUGUCUUUCUUCUCAUGCAUAAGAAAGUGGCAGCUGAAGACGGGUCGUAGAGGCUUCUUGUUGCGGACUGACCUGGUCCAGAGGGAAGGACCCUCUGACACAACAAGACCAAACCGAACAGGGCAACAGCAAUGCAUUAUUAAUAAUUCAGUCCAUUAUUACUUGCCUGUUGUCAUCGUCUGAUGUUAUUUCUGUAUGUAGCGUUAUCUGGCAAACACAUUGAAUGUGCUUUGUCGUAGUAGAGGUGGACUAACAUUACAAAAAUAUAUGCAAUUUAAAGACCUACACCUCUAUUCUUAAGGGAAAAGAUUCAAUUUGACAUAGGAAAUGCUUAAAAGGUUAAUAUAAUCCAGUAUGAGUGACUCAACUGCAUUUUUCUAUCAUUUUUCAUUCUUUUUUAAGCACAAAUUCUACAAUUCCUAUGGUUCCAUCUCGUGAAAUGUGAAUAUUUGGUAGUUUUGUGAAUCUUCUAUAAUAAUAAACAGAAAGUCUUUGAGUUUUAUACUGUUUUGGGCGGGACAAAACAAGCAAUUUCAAGAUAUCCUGUUAGGGCCCCAUAUUGUCAGCCUACAGUGAAGAUGGAAGAUUGUCACUGGCACCAGAAUUUCAUAUUUCCUCAGCACCAACGGUUGUCAACCAACUGUAAUAUGAGGAAACAGCCAACAAGAUAUUUAAUACUCACCAGUUCCACAUCGGGAGGGAUAACCAGCCCUGGGGGAGCAACAAACGGUUCCUCGCUCUCCUCCUGCUCUGCCUCUUCUAUACAUGUGACGAGAUAUUAGGACAAAAAGGAUGAGAUAAACCAUGUUGGAUAUUUACCCAGUUGAGCAGUCAGGCAGAAAUUCAACUUCAGCAAACCCCUGGAGGGUGUGUAUCUGCAGAUGGUUGCUUGGAUUAGACAGAGCUGCUGCGUUCUCCACGAAAGACUGCAGCAGCAAAAAAAAAAACAACCAGGAGAGAAAAAAUCAAGCAGCUGAAACUUAGAUACGACACAGAUCCCACCACAAGAAAUGUGUCAGGCACAAGGGAUAUGUCAAUGACUCCAGAUUUCAUUAUUUCCUCUAUGUGCGCCCUAACAGCAGCAUUACACCACGGCUGCAAUAUGACAACUGCUGAUUUUGUUUUUUAACGAGAGAGGAGAAACUUUGUGACUCUACUGAUUACAGCAGCACAAAGUUUAUAACAACAAGCACCGAGUACAUGCCAAUAAUGAAGCUCAUUACUGUGCACAAAUGUACUGUAUGUACAUAGGCAGCAAGUGCCUUUCUGGAUGGCAGAUAUAUAGAAAAACCUCCUGGCAGGGAGCACUUUGCAAGCACACCAAAAAAAAAAAAUUUGCAAAUGCAUCUUCACCUCCACUGCUAUAACCCCAUCCUGGGAGAAACGCUGGAUUUCAUGCACACUAUGGUGUGAUUAUUUUUUGUAGAAGUCCAUUUAUGAUGUCUGGAAGCCCACAGGAAACACAUUAGUGCCACAGUGUAGGUGUGGGACAAACGAGAGACUUUGUUUGAUUUAGAAAGCAUUAUUCUGCCAGUACCUGUCCUCCGCAGAGUUAGCUCUCGCAUUAAAAGUUGUGCCUUGUAUUUGGUUUUUCAUUUAUAUCCAAUGGACUGAAAAACAAAAAAGUAUGUGACUGUGACUAACCGACUCUUCAAAGUCUGUGUGUGAUGUGAAU